UAGUAUGGGGAUCUGCCCGAUAGAGGGGGAUAACUACUGGAAACGGUGGCUAAUACCGCAUAAUGUCUACGGACCAAAGCAGGGGCUCUUCGGACCUUGCACUAUCGGAUGAACCCAUAUGGGAUUAGCUAGUAGGUGGGGUGAAGGCUCACCUAGGCGACGAUCUCUAGCUGGUCUGAGAGGAUGAUCAGCCACACUGGGACUGAGACACGGCCCAG
rnacentral:rRNA from 1 species